GUCUCUCAUACUGGCAACAAUUCUUUCACUCAAAAAAAUAAAAUAAAACUUUUAGGGACAUAUGGCUUUUUUUCCACCUCCAGGUUUCAAAUUUACUUGAAAACACCUACACAGAGUUGGAAGUUCCUAAAGUGUCAACAGCUGAAAUGUCCCAGGAACUGCGAACGCUUUUCAUGUAGAAUCAGAGAUGGAAAAUUACUGGAUUUAAAGAAUGAAGAAGAAGGACGGAGGGCUGAGCUCUCCGCUCAAGUGGGAACUGACCUCCGACCCAUGUCUGUCUGUGGUGAGUGUCACAGCCCUGCAGGAAGCAACCGGGACCUAACUGGCUGCUCCGUUGGACACCUGUGGACAGAAUCUAGAAAGAAGAGGCAAUAUACCAGCACCACAAACCUCCAGGACCAAUCCUAGAACUGGCUGUAGCUCAUUAUGUAGCUCAGAAAGUGCAAGAAAAUGAUUUUAACUUACUCCAAAAAUUUAAGAAGCCUCCUAGCACAUUUUUUUUCCUUGAGUGCCAAAGUUAUAAUCUUCACACAGAAAUAAGAAGGAAGCAUGAAGCAUAUCUGCUUCAUAACAUCCCAAAAUAUAUAAUGAAAAGCGUUGAAGUGUUUCUCAAAGAACACCUGAAUAAUUUCUGAAUAAAUUAAUGGUGAAUUUAAGAAUAAUCUCCCUGAGACAUUGAAGAAUGGGAAGGGGAUUAUUUUCUGGCCUUGAAUUUUGGUUCUAAGAGGUAACUAUAAUUUUAUUUCUGCCUGUGUUUUGAUUCGUAUGAGUAUCCAAAGCCCUGACAUUUGCUUUGAGAAACUUCCAUGCUGCAAAAAAUAGACUGCAGUCCGAGUUCACCUCGGCAGUUUUUGCAUAAAGGCCUUGUGGCUGUGUGGACCACAGUUAUAUAUUAAUAGGCUUUGGUGUAAUUCCAGAGCUGAAAUCCACUAAGAAAUGGCAACAAAAAAAACUAUAUAACUUUCCAUCAGUUCCGACUCGGCUUGGCCUCAGAUACUGUUUUAUGAACAAUCUAAACAUCUUAUCACAUCAAUUCACAGACACCAGGGUCUCUGGGCCUGUCUACUUCUUGAGGCACAGCAGUUUAGAUAGAAAUGAUUCCUAUGGAGCAUGGAGGUGGAAAGUGGAUGGAAUGCUGCUCCAUCAGAUCAAGAUUUGCAUCACGAUCGAUUAGCUGAGUUCCCCUAGCAAGACUGUGCCCCUGGGCUUAACUAUUCCCAUCUCGAAACUGGGAAUAGUAAAUAAAACCGACAUCAUAGAGGAAAACCUUUUUUUUUUUAGAGUGGAAGCAAGGGCACAUGAACACUGAGUUCUUUUCCUUUCUCCAUGCAUCCUGUGCAAGAUUUAAAAGGAAGUGGUGACCAGUUUACAGACCGAGUUAAUCUUGAUGUGGCCAUUUAGAAUUCAUAUUCUGUCUCUUAAAGUACAAGGACUUCUUGAACUACAACUCUCCACUGGCUUUCAUAACAUUCAGCCUGCAAAUCAGGAAAGAUCGGCCUGCCAAGCAUUUAUAGCCACCUUCAACUGUGAUCAUUAGAUGUAGGCUACACUGGACCCAUUCAGCUCAGUGUUUACUCUUUAAUAUUGCUGCUUAGGGAAAGGCUGACAUGGGUGCUUUUGAUGACAACAUGAUCAAAGGCAAGGUGUUUCUCCUACAUACCUCCGAACUACUAAGGGCUGCCCGGGUCCCAGUCCAUGAAUACAGCACAUCUUAUCUUCUUGUAAUCAUCUUGGUCUUUGUUUUACUAAUGUUAGAUAUGCUGCUCAAAAUCUUUGCCUAUUGACCUCAGCUUCAAAUCUCUUUCUCCUAUCACCAAACAAAAUACCUUAUAGUCCUGACCAGGACCCUCACAAAGGUCUUGACCACCUAUUUUUUUUCUCCCAGAAAACACAUUUGGAUAUUCACGAGACAGGAGCCACAGUGGCUCUUACUCAAAUGACAUGUCCAGUUUAUCAUCCUUUUAGUAUCAAAGUUUUUCGGCA